rnacentral:lncRNA from 1 species
ACCCACACUCUUCCAUCCAAGAAAAAUGCAAGGAAGAGGGGAGGGGGGUUGUGCUAUAUAUAAGCAGAGGACUUUAGUCCCGGUUUGAGACACAAACCGAGACUAAAGGUGGCGCACAUGCGGGCUGCACACCGCGUAGCCCUUUAGUCCCGGUUUGGGACACAAACCGGGAUUAAAGGCUCCUUACAGGCCGGGACUAAAGCCUCGAGGGAGACAUUGCGAUUUGGGGCGACGUGGUCGGGCCUUUAGUCCCGACCCAGAGGCAGGCCGGGACUAAAGGGUCUCGGCCAAAGGCCCGUUUUCCACUAGUGGUGCUGGCUAGCUGGUUCGUACAUGGCUGACAUCGAAAGGAGGAAGAGAGGGUCGCGCCAGCCAGGUCUCGGCCGAAACAACAGGACAUGGGUCGGCUCUCUCCCUCUCUGCGUUAAAACAUUUGCAAAAAAUAGAACAUGGGUUUUUAACAAAUAACAGAGGCUGAAAGGAAAAGGUUUAGAAGAAAAUAAAAUAUAUUUGGUCUGCUAAUAUCAUGCCACAAUUUAUAAAAAUUCGUUGGGCAUUUUUCGCAUAGCAAAAAUAAAUCCCUUUUACUAAAAUAAGGCACUGUUUUUAAAUAAAAACCAAAAGGAAAAAUAAAACCAAACCGAAGGGGAUGCACUC